ACUUUUAUAAUGAUGAUUUCCUUUUGGUUAGUUAAGAUCAAGAAAAUCACAAAUUAACAUAUGCAUGUAGCUGCUGAAUUUAUACAACCAAAAAGAUUUGAAAAAUAGGAUCUGUUAUUAAGUAUAAACCCAUGCACAUCUGUAUGAGUGCUCGUAUUCUUAAAAAAUGUUAUCAUCCCAGUGGAAAGCUAUAACUUGCUGUAACUAAUUUUUCCAUGGUUUCCUGGGAAAACACAAUGAUUAUAAGAUUUCAGAUACCUCGACGGAUAUCCGGACGAAAAAAACGGACAACAACACCAAUCAAUCAAAAUGCAACAGUGGUUCUGGCAGAUUCGUAGUGGGAUACCCCUUGAUUUU